UUCAGCCCUUUAAACAUAAGUUAAACUUUACAACGUUCAUGAACAAGCGUGAGAAUCUAAGACUGAGCGACGUCAUAGUCCUGAAAUCCAAGACUGUAGCUUUCCACCAGCCGCCCAGCAGUAACCCAUGGAAACAGCAUCAAGGGUGUAUGAGGGACUAAUCAGCAAGAGAAAUCUGGAAAUACAUUCUGCUGACACUGCUGACGUGGGAGAUUUAAGGCACUGCACUGCUGCACAUUUCAGGAAAACAAUUCAGGACAUCUGCUUUUGCUAUUUCAUUUUUCACUUGUUGGAUAUCCUGUUCUUUUCGUAAUGGAGUUGUUCCUGCCUGCUGCUCACUGGCGUUCUGAAGAGGCAUCCCAAAUGAGGGGAAAAGGCUUUGGCGCAAUGUUGCACAGCGCUGGCGUCUCAUUCUUUUAACACGUUUCAUUUCUCCUUGUUAACAGCGAGCGUCCCUGCAGGGCUCAGGUUUGUUUCCUUGGAGAUGGAUGCUUAAAGCUCGGAGUCGGCAACGGAGGAAGUGGCGCUCUGUUUUAUUUUUUUUUAGAAAGGUCACGCUCAGCAUGGUUCCGUCAGGGUGUCCGGUCUGAUCCACUGGGGACUUGAGGCUCUGCGUCACAGAAGGCCGUCCUGUUGGGACCUGCUUGAGAUACGCCGCUGACUCAGGGAUUCCGUUGCCGGUGACCGUACCUUGCCCAGGAAAAUAAAUGGUCUUCGUCUGACCAUUCUCCAGGUUCUCCACGGGCACUGCCGGAUAAUGCCCUGCUCUGCCGCUGAAACAUACUGUGUGAGAAAACAGAAAGGAGGCUGAGGUACACUGAGUCUUGGAUGUGGGACCUUCCGUGAUGAUGCCGGCCUUCAGAAGAAACUCCCACAUGCGUGAUAAUUCCCUGGCAGAGAUCUUCCAGGUCCUUUCAUAAGACUCAAGAAGAGGUGUGCAGCCACUGUGGAGCAACACGCCUCGACAGUUUUGUUUUUAAUUAAAAGCGGUUGUGCUGUGCCACACAGGGAUGGCAUCUCCCACGAGGAGCUCACUGAAGUGGAAGGGCAGUGCGGGGCCCAGAUGGAGACAAACAGGGGUGGGAAACACCUCCCUCUCUGCGAAAAGAUGGGAUAUCCAUUUCCAGCAUGUGGCCAAGGGUUGUCUCACAACAUGAGAAGCUAGAGAAAACCCAGGGUUUACCCAUCCCGUCCUCAACGUCAAUAAUGUAUUCAGCCAUUGAGACAAUUAAAAAGGAGGCUGGAGACGCUUGCUCCAGGCGCAGAUUGGAAAAAUUAAUUAUCUUAAUCUUUGGUCCCGUGCGCAAUCCAAAUAACGUGCUCACACGCACUCAGUUGCUCUUCUACCUGGUUCAACAGGGGAUAACAAAAGUCAAACCUAGAGAGGCAAAAUGUAGGCUCCAGAACAAUCUGGCCUGUUUUACUUGUGUUUAUAACUUGUGAAUCAAUUUGUGAUUAUUAAGACUGUGUUGUCUUUUUUUCUCAGACCAUAUAAGCAAGCCUCAUUGUUCUCCCUGAGAACAGACAACAUGCUCUCCAUUUCCCAGAGCCCAGCUGUCUUAUCGCUUCCACGUUAAUGAAAGACGCCUAUAGCCACAGAUUUCAAGCCAAGUGUAAACACCCAAACAAUGAUGACAUUUUUCUCUAAAUCCAACUGUUGUGGAGUCAGUUUACUUUGGCUGGAACCAGGCCAUUCCAUUCUGCUUCUGUGGAAUUUCUUUCCUGUAGAAAGCAUUCCAGGCAAGUACUCACGGGUCUCCUGUGCCAGAGAAGGAGAGCGGAGAUCAUGUGGAGUCUCAGGCAUGCUGGAGAAAGGACACCACUGUCAUUACCGGAGAUACUCAGCCUGAUCAAGUGUAACUUUCAGAAGUUACAAUAUAUGCCUUUUUGCCUGUCUUCAGAGUUUGACAUGAUAGACGUUGACAAAAGUAGUGGCAUGCCAUUGUGAAACCAGAAUGCAGUGCUCUUUCUCUUAAAGGGGAACUGCAACACUAAUUUUAUAUUUCAGAGUUAGAAAGAAUGGGCAUCAGUAGUGCAUUUCAGAUCACAACGAAAGUCAAAUGUACACCGUAAUGUGUAAAAUCUCACCACAAAAUAGACAGGAUUUCCAGGUACUGUAUAUGCAGCACCAUAUCCUGCAAUUCAGAAUGAGGCGACCAAAUGACCGGUAAGGUGUAGAAGCCUUUUCACAUUGUAAACAAGCAGGCUUGUGAAUACAUCUUUUUUUCUGCUAAUAGAAAUAUUGAUGUCGAAUUUGAGAUGGUUUUGCUGACAAAUACAAGUUACUUGUUAGCUCUGCAUGCAGAUCACGUUGGAACAUUGCUGUGGUGAAAUGUCUGCUGCACAACCUGUACUUAUUGGCUCAUACAUCGCAUUCCAUCCGUUGUUACAUUGACUAGUGAGCAGGAAGGGCUGCUCCACAUUGCAAUUCACUCAAACUCUCGGUCUCAUCUGUGGAAAGACCAGGGCUUUGCGCCAACACGGUUACUAUGCAUUACUUUCACAAAGUUCACGAUUUUAUGCUUAAUUUGGAAUUUGUAAAAGUUUGCAGUACUGUCAGUUCUUAUUUUUUUAUAUGUAAUACCACAGUUCCCCUUCAAUUAUCAUAAAAUAGUCCAGCUCAAGAUAGCUUGGCAAAGCUUAGGGAAUAAUGGUGAGGCCAAAUACAUACAGUACAGUAUACAGUAUGCCAUUAGCAUGGCAAAAGUGAAUCAAAGAAAUGCCACACAAAUCUGUAACUUGUGUACAUGGCAUGCCAGGGAAAGGACAUAUCUUUUCACCUCUGCCCACCUUGGGGGUACUGGUCACCACAGCUGGACUGUUUCUGUUUUGUCCUUUAGAAUAUGAGACAGGUAUACUGUAUGCUCUAGUCGUGCAAAAUGAAGGUCGCAACAUUUCCUUCUCAAUAAAGAAAAGAACAUUUCUCCUCUUUCUUUUGGAAGGCCAAUUAUGCUUUUGCUCCAAAACACAAAUUAAUUCCAAAAAAGCGAAAAAUACUUUUCAUCUGUACUGAAUUAUAUUGUCAUAAAAAAGACGACUUCUUGUCUUUAUAUCCUUUAGUCUGUCAAGACCCUCAAGCCACUCUUCCACUUCCGUAUGUGCAGUACACUGAGUACAUUUGACAACAUUGACAUCACCUGUGCACAAGUAUGGAAAUACCCUUCCAUUGGUUUUAAUUACUCCUUGGGCCUGUUGGGAAAUGUACUUCCAGCCCCUUCUGAUGAUCUCUUUCUAUUACAAGCAUGAAAUGAGGAAAGUUACCAGGGGUCAAGACUAUGUAAUAUUCUAGAUCCAUAAGACAAUCCACCUACAAAUAUCCUACAUAUUGAGUCACACUUGGUUGACUGUCAUAAGAGGAGGGUGGUUGUGUGGAGUGCAGAGCAUGUGAUGUCUGUAAAGCAGCAGGCAGUUUUGCGGUACCCAAUCUCAUGUUAAGCUUCCAAAGCAUUCAUGGUUCUCCCUUUUCCCUUUAAGGUGAAGAUAUAGAGGGAGAUUUCUGACCUUUUUAGCUUCAGAGAACUAUUUACUUCUUUGGUGGAAGGAUAGAGCAGCACAGUGGCGUAAUAGUUACCUGCCUUCAGUGCUAGAGCCCCACGUUAAUUUCUGGGCCUGUAAAUCUGUGUGAAGUUUGUAUGUUCCCCCCAUGUUGGGCGAAGCAGUGGCACUGUGGAUAAGGAUCUGCGCCUGUGGCUG